rnacentral:rRNA from 1 species
CCUACGGGAGGCAGCAGUGGGGAAUAUUGGACAAUGGGCGAAAGCCUGAUCCAGCCAUGCCGCGUGUGUGAAGAAGGUCUUCGGAUUGUAAAGCACUUUAAGUUGGGAGGAAGGGCAGUAAGUUAAUACCUUGCUGUUUUGACGUUACCAACAGAAUAAGCACCGGCUAACUUCGUGCCAGCAGCCGCGGUAAUACGAAGGGUGCAAGCGUUAAUCGGAAUUACUGGGCGUAAAGCGCGCGUAGGUGGUUCAGCAAGUUGGAUGUGAAAUCCCCGGGCUCAACCUGGGAACUGCAUCCAAAACUACUGAGCUAGAGUACGGUAGAGGGUGGUGGAAUUUCCUGUGUAGCGGUGAAAUGCGUAGAUAUAGGAAGGAACACCAGUGGCGAAGGCGACCACCUGGACUGAUACUGACAUUGAGGGCGAAAAG